CUUCCCGUUUACUUGCUGCUCUAGUCUCUCAGUAGCAGGAGCAGUUAUUCGCAUGGGAUAAAAUAAUAUCGGGCAAUUGUAAAUUGAGAUUUUCUCUCUUCUGCAUGGUCUAGACAUUG